AUUGAACGCUGGCGGCAGGCCUAACACAUGCAAGUCGAACGGUAACAGCAAGCAGCUUGCUGCUUUGCUGACGAGCGGCGGGCGGGCGAGUAAUGUCUGGGAAACUGCCUGUUGGAGGGGGUUAACUACUGGAAACGGUACCUAAUACCGCAUAACGUCGCAAGAACAAAGAGGGGGCGUUUCGUGCCUCUUGUGAUGGGAUGAGCGCAGAUGGGGCUAGCGAGUAGGUGGGGUAACGGCUCACCUAGGCGCCUCUCUCUAGCUGGUACGCGAGGAUGACCAGCCACACUGGAACAGAGGCACGGCACAGACUCCUAGAGGAGGCAGCGGUGGAGAAUAUUGCGCGAGGGAGGAGAGCCGGAUACAGCCAUGCCGCGGGUAUGAAGAAGGACUUCGGGUUGUAGAGUACUUUAAGCGGGGAGGAAGGAAAGAAAGUUAAUACCUUAUCUUAUUGACGUUACCCGCAGAAGAAGCACCGGCUAACUCCGUG
rnacentral:rRNA from 1 species